CAUGGAGCCUGCUUCUCCCUCUGCCUGUAUCUCUGCCUCUCUCUCUCUUUGUGUCUCUCAUGAAUAAAUAAAUAAAAUCUUUAAAAAAAGUCUCUCUUGCUCUUGCUCUCUCACCCCUUGCCCCUUUCCAACCCCCCCAUGCACAUGUGCACUAAAAAAAGAAAAAGAAAAAAAAAAAAGAUAAAAGAUGGCUUCAGCUCUUCUGCUAAUGACAUCAAAAUGACCAUAGGAAGGGAGAAGAGAGAAAAGUCCAUCUGCUUGAUUAUUUCUAUAUUGUGCAAUGUUUUUUUGUUUUUGUUUUGUUUUUGUUUUUGUUUCAGAAAAGAAGUGGCAAUUUAUAAAAAUGAUAUUUGGAGUUGUUUCUUCAUGGAUGCCAAUGUUUGCAAUUUAAACACAGAAUAUAUUUAUUUAUUUAUUUAUUUAUUUAUUUAUUUAUUUAUUUAUUUAUUUUGGUCCUACAGACAGUAAAACAAACUCUAGGCCUUUUAAAAUAGGUGAGGCAAUAGUUCUACAUAGUCAAAUUGAAUUCUUUUCACAAGCAGCAACAUUUCAACCACUCCUUAAAUUCCUUCUCAGCCCCCAGCUUUUCAGCCUUAUCAACCAGGUGUAAGUGGAACACUAAAGGUGUAUUUGUUGGAUAAGAAGAGAGAAAAUGUUGUAGCCAUUAGCCUUACAUGGAGAGCAACCAUGUGUGCCCUUGAUGUGGGGUUCUGAAUGGUUGGGACACCAUAGCUAUUGUAUGCUCAGUGUAAGAGGGUGAAGAACUGAGAUCAACAAAGGUAAGUUUCACCCACUUCCACAACUUUAAAAGAUUAAGUGUGCCCAGUGUUGUUGGGAAAGACGAUUGCCAGUCACCUCCAGAUUCAAAUAAAAGAAAGAGAAGAAUGAGUUAAAGAAGAUAAAUGAUCUUGGAGUGCCUGGCUGGCUCAGUCAGUAGAGCAUACGACUCUUGAUAUCAGGGUCUUGAGUUUAAGCCCCACACUGGGCAGAGAGCCUCCUUAAAAAAAAAAAAAAAAAAAAAAAAAAAAAAAAAAAAAAAAAGGACAAAUAAUCUAGUAAUGAAAUGGGUUGAAGUAUCAGGCCUGUAUUGAUUUCUGUUUACUUUAGUCUUGGUAUUUUGAAAGGAUCUAGUUGUGACAUUCCAGCAUCACAAUUCAAUACUGAGACAGAGGGCAGCCCCGGUGGCGCAGCGGUUUAGCACCGCCUGCAGCCCAGGGUGUGAUCCUGGAGACCCUGGAUCGAGUCCCACGUCGUGCUGUCUGCAUGGAGCCUGCUUCUCUCUCUGCCUCUCUCUCUCUCUCUCUGUGUCUCUAUGAAUAAAUAAAUAAAAUCUUUAAAAAAAAAAAAUACUGAGACAGAGGGCAGCCCUGGUGGCUUAGCGGUUUAGCGCCGCCUUCUGCCUGGGGUGUGAUCCUGGAGACCCGAGAUUGAGUCACACGUCAGGCUCCCUGCGUGGAGCCUGCUUCUCCCUCUGCCUGUCUCUGCCUCUCUCUCUCUCUCUCUCUCUCUCUCUCUCUCUCUGUCUCUCUCUGUCUCUCGUGAAUAAAUAAAAAAAAAUACUGAGAUUCAAUGAUUCAUAAUCCAGUUGACAUCAUUACCACCUGGUAAAAAGGAUUAUUAGUGGGUGGUUUUGUUUUUAAGAUUUUAUUUAUUUUAGAGAAUACGAGCAGCAGGGCAGGAGGGACAGAGGGAGAGAAUCCCAAGCAGAUGCCCCAAGUGCAGAGCUCAAUGCAGGGCUCCAUCACACAAUCCUGAGAUCACGACCUGAGCUGAAACCAAGAGUUGGACACUCAACCAUCUGAGCCACCCAGGCACCCAAUUCUUACUUUGAGAUACCAACAACGACUACAUCAAUUCUUCUCUGCAUUUUGGGCUGGUCUUACAGUCACCUGACUAAAAACUACGUUCCCAGCUCCCCUUGCAGCUAGGUGUGACCUUGUGACAAAGUUCUUGCCAAUGAAAUAUGAGCAGAAAGGUUGGUGGAACUGCUGUGUCAUUGCUUAAAAAGAAAUGGUUUGCCCUCUAUGUUCUCUUUCCCUUCUUGCAUCCUAGAGUAUAGACAUGGGACUGAAUCAGCUUCUACCAAGCAGAACAUGUAAGAGAUGGCAGGGCAACCAGACUGAAGGCACUAGGUCCCUGGAUGAGUUUUGUGGAGCAAAGUCACUCCCCAGCCUGAACCACAUACUUCCAGACUGUUACAUGAGAAAGGCAAACUUCCAUUUUGCUUUUAUGCCUUAUUUUAGGAUUUCUUGGUGAUGGCAGUUUCUAGCCUAUACCUAACAUAUCUCUGGUAGACCCUCCAGGGAGGGAAACAGGAUUGCUGGAGACCACAGCUUGAAAGAAUACUUCACAUAUUCUUUUAUACUUUUCAAUUUUGUGGCAUAUACACUAUUCCCUAGUUAUUAAAAAUUCAUCAAUCAGUUCAUUAAUUUGUUAGUGCCUUUGUAUCCCUGUUGAAUUAAACAAAAACAAGUAUUAUCUUACUAGAGAGUGUUUUUUCGUCCUGGCUAAGAGAAAGAGGCAUGUUGUUUGUCCCCAGAUCUUCAAUAUCUUGACUCUACCACCAACUUUAGCAGAUAUUCCUAGAAGCUGUGCUAGCAGGAGCAACAAUCUAAAUCAUUAAGUGUAAUGAGAACUAGGAACCAAAUGACACUAUGAGUGCUACUGGUUUUAUGGGAACACAAUGCUUUCUAUGCUGUCAUCUGCCCCAGUAAAGUCAGUCACAUUCAGCUAGUUGCUUCAAGUGACUACUCCUACCCCAUCUGUCCAUCUAACAAAUAUUGAUCAUGCAUAUAACUUUAUAGUGUACCCCUACUCGACCCCAUGGUAGGCACUAAGGAAAGGAAGAUGAAUAGGACACUGUCACACUUCUCUGUGUCUAUGUCAGUACUUCUAUUCUUAAUGAAGGCUAAAAUACAGGAUUACCCCUCCCCACUUAUGUGAUACUUCAAGAAACAGUGGCAGGGAUGCCUGAGUGGCUCAGGGUGUGAUCCUAGGAUCCAGGAUCGAGUCCAUGUCAGGCUCCCUAUGGGGAGCCUGCUUCUCCCUCUGCCUAUGUCACUGCCUCUUUCUCUCUGUGUCUCUCAUGAAUAAAUAAAUCUUAAAAAAAAAACAGUGGCAAAUAUAAAUUGGGUAAAGAGAUAUCCUCUUUGCCCCUCAAAUAUCACUGUAUAUUCAAAAAGCCAAAGCUGUCAGAUAUAAUCCUCUCUCGGCACCAUCACUUCCCACUUACAAAAUUAUAGCAUUAGAAACUGUGGGAAAAAAAAAAAAAAACUGUGGUUAAAGGCAAAUUUUAAUUCUCUUUGAUAAACUGAUAAUAAUUAAUGUAUUUUGCCAAAGUU
rnacentral:lncRNA from 1 species